UGCACACACAUACGCAGGUAGACACAAUUGAACAGACACACACACACACACACACGAUGGCUAAGCUCAAAAAAGUUCACUGGCCGAAAAACGGUUUUUUUUCUUCUCAGAAAAAAAAAAGAGGGAAAGAAAACAAGUGUAUUUUCGUACUGGUUGAUGUGUACGAACAGGUCAAAGUGGUACGUAAUCACGGCGCGCGAUGGCCGUACCCAAGAACAGCAAGAGCGGCCAUGGCGCGCUCGCCAAGUAUCACAACUGAACUCGGCCGAGAAGGAAGAGCAACUGGUGGCGGUUGUGACCACUCUUCUUCUUCUUCUUCUUCUCCUCCUCUUGGGAUGUGUAUGUGUGCUAGCCCCCUCUUUCUUUUCUUCGAUUCUUGCCUACCUGAGCUAAGGUGCAUUUGCUACACACUACUUUUCAUUCUCUGUCUCCCUAUUCUUUUCUUUCGUUCUUUUGAACCUGUUGUUCUGUGCCCUUGAGGGAUGUGGAGGCGCUAGUUGCAAAGUGUUGUCCGACACACUGGCGCUCUCGGUGUUACCCACUUGGACUGGAUGUACAGGAAUGGAGAGAAAACCGAGAAGACGAAGGAAUGAAGAAACAGUAGAGAAUGAAAGAGAGAGAGAGAGAGAGAGAGAGAAAAGCUUUGCUUUAUUUCCUUUUAAGCAGAAGAAGAAGAAAACGAAGGGAAAAACAAAAAAAGCUGUUCGGUCUUCGUCAUUGUCCCGCGGUCAGGCCCAGAGGAAUCACAUAGAAAACAAAAGAAAAUCCUCGGCCUCCUUCUCUCCUUGACUUUGACCUUGUCCUCGCCAUUCGUCGUCCAGAAAUCACAUUAAAGGUAUGAAGGCUUUCCUCCUACGCCGACCAAAUAAAAUGAAGAUGAAAAAGGGAGAUGGGCUCAUCAAAACGUGUGAUGUUUUACGGCGUGUUCUCCCCGCUGUGGGUGCCGUCAAACAAGUGAAAUGGCGCCAUCUCUUUCUGUUCACUAAAUGAGUGUCGAGAUGAAUGUAGUUUUUUACGUCGCCUCUAGCAGCAAAAGAACGAGAACAAACGAAACGAAAAGGUAAACCGUAAACCUAUUGUGUCGAUAAUACUGUUACUCCCACAUAACGUCAUAGACCACGCGUAACAAGACCGUGUGUCGCCCAUGCAACUCCGCUAGAUGGCAUGCAAGUAUUUUUUUAUUUAUUUCCUUUUUUUUUUUAUUAUUAUUUAUUUAUUUUUUCUCACACAACCGUAACAACGAAAAAGCCUAACAGAAACGCGACGCAAGAAUUCCGUUGUGUGAAAAUAAGAAGCUAAAACUACAAAAACUAUCACACACUUUGUUCAAAACUAUGAAAAGAGACUCUGAAAAAUUCCCAACUGGCCAAAGGAGACCAACCGGAAACUAAUACCAGUCAAUCUUCCGCCAAUGGCUGGCCGGCUGAAAAAAAAAGGGAGUUGGACCGAGGGAAACAACCGAACAAAAUAAUCCAUAAACGAAGGAAAACUGAAGAAAGAAAAGACGAAAAAAAAAAAACUAAACUGUUAACAAUCAAUUACUUACUAUGAUAUUUGGCCGUGAAGAAUCGCUGGCGAUUCCGGGGUAGUGUCCCGUAAGUCGAAAGUUUCCUGGAAAGCGCCGAGACCGACUGUUGGUCCACCACCAUCGACGACGGCCCUGUUGGGUACGACGGAUGAUUGACUCUAUUCUGGUUGUUAUGCCGCUGUUGUUGCCGCUGGAGCGCCCAUUGAGAAUCGAGCGAUUGGGGACCAACGGCCUCUUCGCUGGAACUGCCACUUUGAUAGGCCCAGCCAGCCGUGCCCAUGGUGCCAUUGCCAUUGCCAUUAGCCGAUGGAUGUUGAUGAUAUUCCGGAUAAUGAUGGGUCGUAAACUGUUUGUGGAAUCCACGAUUAGUCGCCAGCUGGAAGGCAUUAUCGAACUGUUGUUGUUGUUGAUGAUUUUGUUGCUGUCGAUCUUGUUGACGGAGCACAAACUGGAUGCGGUCCGUGAUGGACACAGAGAUCGGUCGAGCGUGAUGGUAGUAAGGUUCCGGCCGCGAGGAACAAGUCGGACGAUGAUGGAUGGCUCGCCACUGACCGAAUCCGCCGUCAUCGCUCCACUCGCUGGAGAAAUGCUGAUGACUUUCGCUCCGGUUUUGCACCAAUCGAUCACACGAUUUCCCUCUUGGACGUUCUUUGGCCGUCGUCUGAUGGUGAUGAACAUCCGUUCGACGUCCGACAUUCUUUAGCAGUGCCGGCUGUUGAGUCUGUCCUCCCUUUAAUAGCCGAUUCUUGCUAAUUACCUGGUCGGCCUGCUGUUGCUGUUCCGCUGUCUGCUGAUGAUUAUGUUUGCUUUUACCGAGAACCGAGGCCACGAUAAAGUUCUUCAUCUUUC